AUACGUAGGUGGCAAGCGUUGUCCGGAUUUAUUGGGUUUAAAGGGUGCGUAGGUGGUUUUUUAAGUGAGUGGUGAAAUCGUGCGGCUUAACCGUAUACUCGCCAUUCAUACUGGAAGACUUGAGUGUGCGUGAGGGAGUUGGAAUGCGUGGUGUAGCGGUGAAAUGCUUAGAUAUCACGCAGAACGCCGAUUGCGAAGGCAGAUUCCUGGUGCAUGACCGACACUGAGGCACGAAAGCGUGGGUAGC
rnacentral:rRNA from 1 species